rnacentral:rRNA from 1 species
CGAGCGCAACCCUUGUCCUUAGUUACCAGCACGUUAUGGUGGGCACUCUAAGGAGACUGCCGGUGACAAACCGGAGGAAGGUGGGGAUGACGUCAAGUCAUCAUGGCCCUUACGGCCUGGGCUACACACGUGCUACAAUGGUCGGUACAAAGGGUUGCCAAGCCGCGAGGUGAAGCUAAUCCCAUAAAACCGAUCGUAGUCCGGAUCGCAGUCUGCAACUCGACUGCGUGAAGUCGGAAUCGCUAGUAAUCGUGAAUCAGAAUGUCACGGUGAAUACGUUCCCGGGCCUU